AAAGGGUAUUUGACACAGACUGCGGCAGCCCUAGACAAGUCACCGUCACUUUCGCCACAGCUAGCAGCUCCCAUCCGAGGGAGGCCUAAGAAGUGUCUGGUCUAUCCGCAUGCGCCGAAGAGCUCCCGCUUGUCUCGUUCCGUUCUGCGUUGGCUUCAGGGUCUGGAUCUCAGCUUCUUCCCCAGGAACAUCAACAGAAAUAUUCUGUAUAUAUUACCCCUGGGAACUUGAAUUAUCAUCCUUUGAAAACGGGACCUCUUUAAAAGUCAAGUUGGAUAACUGGGCACAGUUGGAGAAGUUCCUGGCAAGAAAAAAAUUUAAAUUACCUAAAGAACUAAUCCAUGGAACAAUUCAUUGUAAAGCUGGAGUGCCUGAAAUAUUGAUAGAAGAGGUUUACACUUUA
rnacentral:lncRNA from 1 species